GGAAGGAUCAUUCACAAUGAGUGUUUUAUGGCACUCUUUAAAAAUCCAUAUCCACCUUGUGUGCAAUGUUUGUUGGGAGAGAGGCAACUCUUUCCCUUCACAAAUAUCAACCUAUAUCUUUAACAACAUUCGUCUGAUAACAUAUUAUGAAUAUACUUAAUUCAAAAUAUAACUUUCAACAACGGAUCUCUUGGCUCUCGCAUCGAUGAAGAACGCAGCGAAAUGCGAUACGUAAUGUGAAUUGCAGAAUUCAGUGAAUCAUCGAAUCUUUGAACGCAUAUUGCGCUCUUUGGUAUUCCGAAGAGCAUGCUUGUUUGAGUAUCAGUAAACACCUCAACCUCCUCUUGUUUUUUCAAAAGGAGGGUGGACUUGAGCUAUCCCAACAACCUUCACCGGUAGGCGGGCGGCUUGAAAUGCAGGUGCAGCUGGACUUUUAUCUGAGCUAAAAGCAUAUCUAUUUAGUCCUCGUCAAACAGGAUUAUUACUAUUGCUGCAGCUAACAUAAAGGAUAAUUGUCCUCAUUGCUGACUGAUGCAGGAUUUUACGACACUUUAUGUGUUGUUCAACUCGAUCUCAAAUCAAGUAAGACUACCCGCUGAACUUAAGCAUAUCAAUAAGCGGAGGAAAA
rnacentral:rRNA from 1 species